rnacentral:misc_RNA from 1 species
GAUCCAGUGUCUCUAAUCGACUUCCCCAACACCCUAACUCCCAACAGGAAUUCAUCUCCAUACAAUAGCGUCACGUAAGCCUGUUCAGUUCUCUGCGAUCGAAGCGAAGCUCCAGAUUGAAUCCAAACUAACGCGAGUAACAAAAACAGAGCUCCAAAUUUUGAUAAUUUCAUCAUAUAAUUUUCUUUUCUAAUAGCAACUUUGGAUGAGAAAACUCGGAUUUUCUCGAGGAAAUUAAAAAAAAAUAAAAAAAAGAAGAAUAAUC